AAGGAUUUAAGUUAAUAAAACUAUUAACCUUCAAAGUUAAAAUUAGAUUGCGAAUCUAAGCCUUA
rnacentral:tRNA from 1 species